rnacentral:tRNA from 1 species
GGGCCCGUAGCUCAGCUUGGAUAGAGCACUCGCCUCCUAAGCGAGGGGUCGGGGGUUCGAAUCCCCCCGGGUCCG